UACGUAGGUGGCAAGCGUUGUCCGGAUUUACUGGGCGUAAAGAGCGCGCAGGCGGUCGUUCAAGUCGAGUGUGAAAGCCCCCGGCUCAACUGGGGAGGGUCAUUCGAUACUGAUCGACUUGAAGGCAGGAGAGGGAAGUGGAAUUCCCGGUGUAGUGGUGAAAUGCGUAGAUAUCGGGAGGAACACCAGUGGCGAAGGCGACUUCCUGGCCUGUUCUUGACGCUGAGGCGCGAAAGCUAGGGGAGCAAACGGG
rnacentral:rRNA from 1 species